GCCACAACCAGAGGAAGCUGGAGCUGCUGUGAAGAUUAAAAGGAUUCAUCUUUAGCUUUAAUCUCCUGUUGACUGGGCUGUGUCCUUCAAAAAGGUGCAGGAGGUUCCUGUUCCGACUGGUAACGUCUGGGAGGCAGAGUAGAACGCCUGGAACGAUGCAUAGCUGCACUGGUGAUGACAGAACUGCUAAGAAAAACUGCUUCAGCCAGGAUCCGGAGAAGAAGAGGAAGUUGCAAGGGAGAACUUGGCUUAUCUACU